AGGUGUAACAUGCGUGUGGCUGCCUCAGGUGAGACCUGGGGCACAGGUGUAACAUGAAUGCAGCUGCCUCAGGUGAGACCUGGGGCACAGGUGUAACAUGCGUGCGGCUGCCUCAGGUGAGACCUGGGGCACAGGUGUAACAUGCGUGCGGCUGCCUCAGGUGAGACCUGGAGCACAGGUGUAACAUGCGUGCGGCUGCCUCAGGUGAGACCUGGGGCACAGGUGUAACACGCGUGUGGCUGCCUCAGGUGAGACCUGGAGCACAGGUGUAACAUGCGUGCGGCUGCCUCAGGUGAGACCUGGGGCACAGGUGUAACACGCGUGUGGCUGCCUCAGGUGAGACCUGGGGCACAGGUGUAACAUGCGUGCGGCUGCCUCAGGUGAGACCUGGAGCACAGGUGUAACAUGCGUGCGGCUGCCUCAGGUGAGACCUGGGGCACAGGUGUAACACGCGUGUGGCUGCCUCAGGUGAGACCUGGAGCACAGGUGUAACAUGAAUGCAGCUGUCUCAGGUGAGACCCGGGGCACAGGUGUAACAUGCGUGCGGCUGCCUCAGGUGAGUCCUGGGGCACAGGUGUAACA